GUACACUCCUACGGGAGGCAGCAGUGGGGAAUUUUGGACAAUGGGCGAAAGCCUGAUCCAGCAAUGCCGCGUGUGUGAAGAAGGCCUUCGGGUUGUAAAGCACUUUUGUCCGGAAAGAAAUCCUUGGCUCUAAUACAGUCGGGGGAUGACGGUACCGGAAGAAUACGCACCGGCUAACUACGUGCCAGCAGCCGCGGUAAUACGUAGGGUGCGAGCGUUAAUCGGAAUUACUGGGCGUAAAGCGUGCGCAGGCGGUUUGCUAAGACCGAUGUGAAAUCCCCGGGCUCAACCUGGGAACUGCAUUGGUGACUGGCAGGCUAGAGUAUGGCAGAGGGGGGUAGAAUUCCACGUGUAGCAGUGAAAUGCGUAGAGAUGUGGAGGAAUACCGAUGGCGAAGGCAGCCCCCUGGGCCAAUACUGACGCUCAUGCACGAAAGCGUGGGGAGCAAACAGGAUUAGAUACCCUGGUAGUCCC
rnacentral:rRNA from 1 species